rnacentral:rRNA from 1 species
CCUAGUGAUGGGGGGACGGCGUGUCAAUGGUGAGCGGUACGACUAGAAACGUCCGCAGUGGUUGGGUCGGUGUGGGAUAGGCAAAUCCGCCCACAUAAGCCGGUCCUUCAACUCGAUCGCAUUUAUGUUCGAGUAGUCAUCGGAGACACGUCCAAGAAAAGCCUCUAAACGUUGAAGCGGAUUGACCGUACUAAAACUGACACAGGUAGGUGAGACGAGUAGUCUAAGGCGCUCGGGAGAACUCUGGUUAAGGAACUCUGCAUAUUGACUCCGUAACUUCGGGAUAAGGAGUGCCUUCUAGGGUGUUAAAGCCUCUGAGGGCCACAGUAAAUCGAUUCCAGCGACUGUUUAUCAAAAACACAGGACUCUGCCAACUCGCAAGAGGAUGUAUAGAGUCUGACGCUUGCCCGGUGUCGGUAGGUUAAGGAAGGAGGUUAGCCGUAAGGCGAAGCUUGCGACCGAAGCCCCGAUAAACGGCGGCCGUAACUAUGACGGUCCUAAGGUAGCGAAGUUCCUUGUCGGGUAAGUUCCGACCUGCAUGAAUAGCGUAACGACUGGAAUACUGUCUCAACCAGAGACCCGGUGAAAUUGUAGCCGAGGUGAAGAUGCCUCGUACCCGCACUGAGACGGAAAGACCCCGUGAACCUUUACUGUAGGCUGAUAUUGGGCUGAGACACACUUUGUGUAGGAUAGGUGGGAGGCUGUGAUCCAGGCACGCAAGUGUUUGGGGAGCCGUCGUUGAAAUACCACCCUGGGUAUGUUUUAGUUCUAACCUCGAUUCCCGUGAAACCGGGCGGGGAACAGUGUCAGUUGGGCAGUUUGACUGGGGCGGUCUCCUCCAAAAGAGUAACGGAGGAUUUCAAAGGUACCCUCAGCCUGGUUGGCAAUCAGGCAUUGAGCGCAUUGGUAGAAGGGUGCUUAACUGCGAGACCGAUGGGUCGAGCAGACACGAAAGUGGGACAAAGUGAUCCGGUGAUCCCGUAUGGAAGGGUCAUCGCUCAUCAGACAAAAGGUACUCUGGGGAUAACAGGCUUAUCGCUCCCGAGCGUCCAUAGCGGCGGAGCGGUUUGGCACCUCGAUGUCGGCUCAUCACAUCCUGGGGGUGAAGAAGCUCCCAAGGGUUCGGCUGUUCGCCGAUGAAAGUGGUACGUGAGCUGGGUUCAGACCGUCGUGAGACAGGUCGGUCCCUAUCUGGUGUGGGCGCACGAAACUUGAGGAGGCUCAUCUUUAGUACGAGAGGAUUUGGAUGGACAUACCUCUGGUGUCCCAGUUGUCACGCUAGUGGCACGGCUGGAUAGCUAAGUAUGGAAAGGAUAAACGCUGAAAGCAUAUAAGCGUGAAGCCCGCUCCAAGAUUAGGUUUCGUAGAGCAUUGCUCGAAAGUCCGCAGGGAGACCACCUGCUUGAUAGGCUAGAUGUAUAAGUGGGGUUAACUCACUCAGCUAACUAGUACUAACGGACGAAUGCUUGGCCAC